rnacentral:rRNA from 1 species
UACGUAGGUCCCGAGCGUUGUCCAGAUUUAUUGGGCGUAAAGCGAGCGCAGGUGGUUUAUUAAGUCUGGUGUAAAAGGCAGUGGCUCAACCAUUGUAUGCAUUGGAAACUGGUAGACUUAAGUGCAGGAGAGGAGAGUGGAAUUCCAUGUGUAGCGGUGAAAUGCGUAGAUAUAUGGAGGAACACCGGUGGCGAAAGCGGCUCUCUGGCCUGUAACUGACACUGAGGCUCGAAAGCGUGGGGAGCAAACAGG